AUCAACUUUCGAUGGUAGGAUAGAGGCCUACCAUGGUGGUAACGGGUAACGGGGUGUUAGGGCACGACACCGGAGAGGGAGCCUGAGAAACGGCUACCACAUCCAAGGAUGGCAGCAGGCGCGCAAAUUACCCAAUCCCGACACGGGGAGGUAGUGACAAUAAAUAACAAUACGGGGUCCUUUGGGUCUCGUAAUUGGAAUGAGUACAAUUUAAAUCUCUUAACGAGGAACAAUUGGAGGGCAAGUCUGGUGCCAGCAGCCGCGGUAAUUCCAGCUCCAAUAGCGUAUAUUAAAGUUGUUGCAGUUAAAAAGCUCGUAGUUGAAUUUCGGGGUCGGUAGGUUGGUCAUGCCAUCGGUAUGCACUGGUCUCACCGAUUCCUCCCUCUUGUAGAAGCGUAAUGCCAUUAAGUUGGUGUUGCGGGGAAACAGGACUGUUACUUUGAAAAAAUUAGAGUGUUUAAAGCAGGCUAACGCUUGAAUACAUUAGCAUGGAAUAAUGAAAUAGGACGUCGAUCCUAUUUUGUUGGUUUCUAGGAUUGACGUAAUGAUUAAUAGGGAUAGUUGGGGGCAUUAGUAUUCAAUUGUCAGAGGUGAAAUUCUUGGAUUUAUUGAAGACUAACUACUGCGAAAGCAUUUGCCAAGGAUGUUUUCAUUAAUCAAGAACGAAAGUUAGGGGAUCGAAGACGAUCAGAUACCGUCGUAGUCUUAACCAUAAACUAUGCCGACUAGGGAUUGGAUGAUGUUAAUUUUUUAAUGACUCAUUCGGCGCCUUACGGGAAACCAAAGUGUUUGGGUUC
rnacentral:rRNA from 1 species